rnacentral:rRNA from 1 species
AGAACGAACGCUGGCGGCAGGCUUAACACAUGCAAGUCGAGCGCCGUAGCAAUACGGAGCGGCAGACGGGUGAGUAACGCGUGGGAACAUACCCUCCGGUUCGGAAUAACUCAGGGAAACUUGAGCUAAUACCGGAUACGGCUUAGCGGCGAAAGAUUUAUCGCCGGAGGAUUGGCCCGCGUCCGAUUAGCUAGUUGGUGUGGUAACGGCGCACCAAGGCGACGAUCGGUAGCUGGUCUGAGAGGAUGAUCAGCCACAUUGGGACUGAGACACGGCCCAAACUCCUACGGGAGGCAGCAGUGGGGAAUAUUGGACAAUGGGCGCAAGCCUGAUCCAGCCAUGCCGCGUGAGUGAUGAAGGCCUUAGGGUUGUAAAGCUCUUUCACCCACGACGAUAAUGACGGUAGUGGGAGAAGAAGCCCCGGCUAACUUCGCGCCAGCAGCCGC